CGCCAGCCGCCGCGGUAAUACGGAGGGUGCAGGCGUUAAUCGGAUUUAUUGGGCGUAAAGGGCGCGUAGGCGGGAAUGCAAGUCAGAUGUGAAAUCCCGGGGCUCAACCCCGGAACUGCAUUUGAAACUGCAUUUCUUGAGGAUAGGCGGAGAAAACGGAAUUCCACGUGUAGCGGUGAAAUGCGUAGAUAUGUGGAAGAACACCAGUGGCGAAGGCGGUUUUCUAGCUUAUUCCUGACGCUAAAGCGCGAAAGCAAGGGGAGCAAACAGGAUUAGAUA
rnacentral:rRNA from 1 species